UUAUUUCCUUGUUCAGUUUGAAACCAGUCGUUUGGAGCAGAUCAGCUCAAAAGGAUCCUUUGUACCAUUUGCAGACUACCUAUCUCCCUCUGGCCUGGAGUCUCGCUCGCCUCUGUUUUCCCCCUAUGGACACACACGAGACUCAGAUCUUGGCUCGUCGUAGAGGAAUCGAUAGCAAGAAUCAACCAGAGAAAGGAUGCACACAAGAGCUCGAGGCAGAGAUGGCGGAGCUCGGGUGAGCUCGAGACUAUGGAUCCAGGGCUUGAGUGCUCACGGGAUGGAGGUGCUCAGGAUGGAGGCAAGGGAGGGUGCCCUGUGGGAAGUGAUUUAUGUGCACUUUGAUCAGGUUUUUUAUAACUGAUGGCAUCUUACAUUGUUGUCUUUUACCGAUUAACUGGUUAACUCUUUUCCUAAAUGGUCUUAGAUUUCUGCUUUCUAUUUGCGCCAGUUUCUUUUUACAAGAGAUGAGAUCUUACACAAUAUAUUUUUGCCUUGGUUGAUCUAAUUAAAAUUUUCCUUCAGCACGUGCAUAUGAUGUUAAUUUAAAGCUAUUUGGAAGUACA